GGUGGACAUGUGUAGAGAGUUCUGUUUUAAGAAGCAGUCUCAACCCAUUACUAGUCUGUUUCAACUAAUGUGGGCCCAGGAAAAUUACAAGGACACAAUUUUUGGGGGUCUUGAACAGGGUGUACACAUAACCCAUGGGGCCCCGGUGCAGAACUGAUUCAUGUGGCCCCCCUUCCCUCUCUCUUCACCCCCCUCUAACUCUUCCCCUUGACAGACACACGCAUGCAUACAUACAUACAGAAACAGGUCGACAGAUACAUAUAGACACAUACAUACACACGACACAUACAUACAGACAGGCAUACAUACA